UGCGGCCGCGAUUCCGGUUGAUCCUGCCGGACCCGACCGCUAUCGGGGUGGGGCUAAGCCAUGGAAGUCGGACGCUCCGCAAGCGCGGAGCGUGGCGCACGGCUGAGUAACACGUGGUCAACCUACCCUCGGGACGGGGAUAGUCCCGGGAAACUGGGACUAAUCCCCGAUAGGCAGAGGGAUCUGGAAGGUCCCUCUGCCUAAAGGGUCGAACCGCUGUGAAGGUUCGACCGCCCGAGGAUGGGACCACGGCCCAUCAUGGUUGUUGGCGGGGUAACGGCCCGCCAAGCCGAAGACGGGUAGGGGCCGUGAGAGCGGGAGCCCCCAGAUGGGCACUGAGACAAGGGCCCAGGCCCUACGGGGCGCACCAGGCGCGAAAACUCCGCAAAUAGAGGGUUCCAACGGGUUGAUCUAUCUCAGGUUAGGUUUUCCAGAAAUGAUAGGUGUAGAGGAAUCAUUAUCCUGAGUAGACCAUCACACUUAUCAAACCCUGAAUACCCCCGUUGGACCCUCUAGCGGAAUGCGGGAAACCGUGACGGGGCCACCCCGAGUGCCCCGAAGAGGGGCUUUUCCCCGCUGUAAGUAGGCGGGGGAAUAAGCGGGGGGCAAGUCUGGUGUCAGCCGCCGCGGUAAUACCAGCCCCGCGAGACCGGUGGGUCUGGGAUCCUUACACUGAUGUUAGGUAAUUGAAUGAGUGUUGAAGAGUAUUAUCUUGUCGUUUACAUAACCCGAGUCUUGAGAGGAGUGAGGGUAGCUGGCUGGAGACCCAGCCUAAGGCUAAACCCCUAGAUGUAGCCUUAAACCUCCAUAACAAUAUUAGUGUACCAUUGAAAUCUACGGAGAUAAAAACCUCACUCUUUAGUCUUAAACAUUAGUCAUAAAUUAACGCAUCCUAAGUUUAGUCCGUCUCUCCCAAUGUUUUCCCGGACCCACGGCGCGGAUGGUCGGGACGUUUAUUGGGCCUAAAGCGUCCGUAGCCGGCCCGGUAAGUCCUCCCUUAAAGCCUCGGGCUCAACCCGAGGACGGGGAGGAUACUGCCGGGCUAGGGGGCGGGAGAGGCCGGCGGUACUCCCGGGGUAGGGGCGAAAUCCGUUAAUCCCGGGAGGACCACCAGUGGCGAAGGCGGCCGGCUGGAACGCGCCCGACGGUGAGGGACGAAAGCCGGGGGAGCGAACCGGAUUAGAUACCCGGGUAGGUACGUGUCGCGGGUUACUUCAUAAACCUCCUACAUUACACUUAUUAGUAUUCAGUUAUCUCCCCGCGGCCGUACCCCGGAGAGUCCCGGCUGUAAACGAUGCGGGCUAGGUGUUGGGUGGGCUUAGAGCCCACCCAGUGCCACAGGGAAGCCGUUAAGCCCGCCGCCUGGGGAGUACGGCCGCAAGGCUGAAACUUAAAGGAAUUGGCGGGGGAGCACCACAAGGG
rnacentral:rRNA from 1 species